GUAGGUGGCAAGCGUUGUCCGGAAUUAUUGGGCGUAAAGCGCGCGCAGGCGGUCCUUUAAGUCUGAUGUGAAAGCCCACGGCUCAACCGUGGAGGGUCAUUGGAAACUGGGGGACUUGAGUACAGAAGAGGAAAGCGGAAUUCCAAGUGUAGCGGUGAAAUGCGUAGAGAUUUGGAGGAACACCAGUGGCGAGGGCGGCUUUCUGGUCUGUAACUGACGCUGAGGCGCGAAAGCGUGGGGAGCAAACAGGGAUUAGAUACCCUGGUAGUCCACGCCGUAAACGAUGAGUGCUAAGUGUUAGGGGGUUUCCCGCCCCCUUAGUGCUGCAGCUAACGCAUUAAGCACUCCGCCUGGGGAGUACGGCCGCAAGGCUG
rnacentral:rRNA from 1 species